rnacentral:rRNA from 1 species
GACGAACGCUGGCGGCGUGCUUAACACAUGCAAGUCGAACGGAAAGGCCCUGCUUUUGUGGGGUGCUCGAGGGGCGAACGGGUGAGUAACACGUGAGUAACCUGCCCUGGACUGUGGGAUAACUUCAGGAAACUGGGGCUAAUACCGGAGAGGAGCUGCUGCUGCAGGGGGGGGGUUGGAAAGUUUGGGCGGUUGUGGCUGGACGCCCGGCUUAUCAGCUUGUGGGGGGGGUAUUUGCUUACCAAGGCUUUGGCGGGUGGCCGGCCUGGGAGGGUGACCGGCGUCCUUGGGCCUGCGGUACGCCCCAGUCUCCUACGGGAGACAGCAGUGGGGAAUCUUGCACAAUGGGCGGACGCCUGACGCGGCAACGCCGCGUGCGGGAUGACGGCCUUCGGGUUGUAAACCGCUUUCGGCUGUGACGAAGCGUGAGUGACGGUAACGGGUAAAGAAGCACCGGCUAACUACGUG